rnacentral:rRNA from 1 species
UACCCGCGGCCCGAGUGGUGCUCAUUAUUAUUGAGCCUAAAGCGUCCGUAGCUGGCCGGGCAAAUCUCCGGGUAAAUCGGGCCGCUCAACGGUCCGAAUUCCGGAGACACUGCUCGGCUUGGGAUCGGGAGAGGGUGAAGGUACUCCCGGGGUAGGGGUAAAAUCCUGUAAUCCUGGGGGGACCACCAGUGGCGAAGGCGUUCACCUAGAACGAAUCCGACAGUGAGGGACGAAGCCCUAGGGCGCAAACGGG